rnacentral:snoRNA from 1 species
AUAAAUAACAACAACCAGUAUCAUUGGCUGUCCCAAUUUCGCCAACAUUGGGACGGUCUCUCUAAGCUGGAAGAUUGGCUUGAACGACUUAAGUUCAGUCGGGCGAACCCAUUCCGUUUCACCUGGCAUUACUGUUGUUCACACACAC